AAGGAAUAUUGGUCAAUGGACGCAAGUCUGAACCAGCCAUGCCGCGUGGAGGAUUAAGGCCCUCUGGGUUGUAAACUCCUUUUAUCUGGGAAGAAAUGUACUUUUUCUUGAGUACUUGACGGUACCAGAGGAAUAAGCACCGGCUAACUCCGUGCCAGCAGCCGCGGUAAUACGGAGGGUGCAAGCGUUAUCCGGAUUCACUGGGUUUAAAGGGUGCGUAGGUGGGCAGGUAAGUCAGUGGUGAAAUCUCGGAGCUCAACUCCGAAAUGGCAUUGGAAACUACCCUGCUAGAGGGUCGGAGGGGGGACUGGAAUUCUCGGUGUAGCAGUGAAAUGCGUAGAUAUCGAGAGGAACACCAGUGGCGAAGGCGAGUCCCUGGACGACUCCUGACACUGAGGCACGAAAGCUAGGGGAGCAAACA
rnacentral:rRNA from 1 species